rnacentral:rRNA from 1 species
AGACGUCUAGGCGGAUUGAGAGAUUGACCGCCAACACUGGGACUGAGAACUGCCCAGACUCCUACGGGAGGCUGCAGUCGAGAAUCAUUCGCAAUGGGCGAAAGCCUGACGAUGCGACGCCGUGUGAGCGAAGAAGGCCUUCGGGUCGUAAAGCUCUUUCGCCUGGGAACAAGAGAAGUUGGCUAAUAACCAGCUAAUUUGAGGGUACUAGGUAAAGAAGCACCGGCUAACUCCGUGCCAGCAGCUGCGGUAAUACGGAGGGUGCAAGCAUUAAUCGGAUUUAUUGGGCGUAAAGGGCGCGUAGGCGGAGAGAUAAGUCAGAUGUGAAAUCCUGGGGCUCAACCUCAGAACUGCAUUUGAAACUGUCUAUCUAGAGGGUAGGAGGAGAAAACGGAAUUCCACAAGUAGCGGUGAAAUGCGUAGAUAUGUGGAAGAACACCGGUGGCGAAGGCGGUUUUCUAUCUUAUUCCUGACGCUGAGGCGCGAAAGCAAGGGGAUCAAACAGGAUUAGAUACCCUGGUAGUCCUUGCCGUAAACGAUGUAUACUUGGUGUAACUGGACUCAACCCUAGUUGUGCCGUAGCUAACGCGUUAAGUAUACCGCCUGGGGAGUACAGUCGCAAGGCUGAAACUCAAAAGAAUUGACGGGGACCCGCACAAGCAGUGGAGCAUGUGGUUUAAUUCGAUCCACGCGAAGAACCUUACCCAGACUUGACAUGCAGUAGACCGGUCCAGAAAUGGGCCUUUCCUUCGGGACUGCUGCACAGGUGCUGCAUGGCUGUCGUCAGCUCGUGCCGUGAGGUGUUGGGUUAAGUCCCGCAACGAGCGCAACCCUUAUCAUUAGUUGCCAACAUUUAAGGUGGGAACUCUAAUGAGACUGCCUGGGUUAACCAGGAGGAAGGUGAGGAUGACGUCAAGUCCGCAUGGCCCUUAUGUCUGGGGCUACACACGUGCUACAAUGGUCGGUACAGAAGGCAGCGAAACCGCGAGGUGAAGCAAAUCCCUAAAACCGGCCUCAGUUCAGAUCGUAGUCUGCAACUCGACUACGUGAAGACGGAAUUGCUAGUAAUGGCGAGUCAGCAACAUCGCCGUGAAUACGUUCCCGGGUCUUGUACACACCGCCCGUCACAUCAUGGGAGUUGGUUUUACCCGAAUCCGCUGGCUUAACCGCAAGGGAAGAAGCGUGUAAGGUGAGGCUGAUGACUGGGAUGAAGUCGUAACAAGGUA